GUAUAAGAGGGGAAAUUAUGGCUGUGGUCCUAAGUGGGAAAAUAGCUACUAAUUGAUUAGGUUGUAUCAAACAGAUUGAGAGAAUGAGAUAACCAGCCAUAACAGGGCUGAGGUACCCAACACUAACCACAAUAAACCUUCUGAAAUUUACUGGCAGUAGAAAUUAAAGUCUUAAACCAGGGAGGAAGGUAAAAGUUAGAUAGACUCAGGUUGACUAUGGAAUAAUAGUCCUAUUAUUUUUUCACUUUUUCCUCUCUCUCAGUUAAGAAAUAAACCUUUAACAUCAUGUCUUUUUCAGGACAUCAUUUGAAGAUAAAAAUAAGUGAUUUUGUUGGCAUAACAUCUAUUUCCAUUGAGAGCUGUAUCAAAAGAGAUCAAGUAGAUAUCAUCUUUCUGGAAAACUCAGAUUAAAAUCUACUGGCUGCCAAUGCCUUCCAAAUAGCAGAAUAUGUUAAAGAAAAACUCCUUCUGUAGAAGAAAGAUGGGACCACCUCAAAGCAUCACCUUGCCAGUUUUCUCCGUCUGUGACUUUUAUGUCCAUUGAACCGAACUAUUCAAAACUCGGUUGUCUGAGGAGAAAAAAAAAAGAGAUAAGUGGGAGUAUAUCCAAGUUUUGAAAAUGUUUCUUUUGGUUACGAUGCAAAAAUAAAAUCUCAAAAAUA